rnacentral:tRNA from 1 species
AUUUUAUUAGUUAAUUAAUAACAUUAAAUUGCAAAUUUAAAAUAAUUUUAUUUAAAUAUAAAAUU